CUAGCUAGUGUGCUAGUGGAUUGUGAUGCACUUACAUAGACCAUGUGUUGCCCAAAAUUGGCGGCCAUCUUGGAUUAAACGAUGUUGUGAUGCCUUAAUUAGCUGUGAAUAGUUUAUAAUGAAUUCCUUGGGAAUGUUGCCAAGCUCAUUUCAGUUUGUGUGAUUACAAUUAGCUAUAUAUUGACAUACACAUACAGAGAAAUGUUAUUAAGUUUUUGGAAAAAUUCCCUCUACUAAAACUCAGUUUCUGACCGUAAGCUACCCUGCAGAAGUCCAUCAUGCUGUUUUGAGAUCUGUCGAACAAUUGCGUGACGUCAUUUUCCUUUGAAAGAUUACAACAAUCACAUAGGGCUCUAAUUUUUGUAGAGGGGGUUGGGGUGGGGGCAGGCUGUUUUUGACCCGAAUCAAACGAAAAUGCCCAAAUAUGGAUAACACUUUUUUUUCUAAUUAACAUUACUGCCAAACAAUUUUUGCAAAGUAAUGGCUACACAUGCUUACAUGGAUUACAACUAAUUUUGUCGGUAAAAUGAUGGAAAUAAUGGUAAAAAGGCCUGUUUAGCACUUUGAUCGAAUAUAUUUGCCGUUUUCGUCUCAAAUUCGAGGAUUUGCUCCAGCGCUAUGGGGCAGCCGGUUAGACGGUUAGAAGCGAAGUUUGGCUCCCACAACUCAAACAAUGAACUUGGUAUCUGUGUGCACUGAAUGGGGCACAUCCUACACCACAAUGCGCCCUACCUGCAAAACUGAAUAUUAUCAUUAUGUUUCAAAGAAAUAUGAUAUUCACGUAAUUAUUGUUAGACGCUUGGAAGGGACGUUUGGCUCCUACAGUAUAAACAACGAUCGUGCGGGACUGGUUGGGACGGGAAAAAAGACCCUCGCGUAGAGAGGUCAAUGGUGUGCUAGUGGAUUGUGAUGCACUUACAUAGACCAUGUGUUGCCCAACUUAACUGACAGGUUGUGGCGCAUAUGCUGUCAUGGAUGGAUGAGCUGAAGCUCAAGGGCGGAGCGCUGGCCUAUAAUGCACUGGAUAGCAGGAUCAACUGCUAUCGAUGGAUUCGGGGUUUCACCGUCACAACCAUUAUUCAUUAUCAAAGCAGGAUAGCACAUACGAAGGCGUUUGAUACAAGUCACGGGACACUAAUGGCGGCGGUAAAAGCCUUUGCUGAGGGGAUCCUUUCUACAAUCUAAUAGAAUACUCUAACCUGGCAGGAAGAUGCCAGGUAUAUUUCCCAGUUCAACAUACCUUAGAAGAGAAAACUGCUUCAUCAUUGCGACUUCCUUUCAGAAGAUGAACGUUCAUCUCCACGGGAACAUUCCUGAAUGAUGGAAUUUUGUAAAAAGGUCAAAAUGGGGCAGCAACUUCAGAUGAGUUUUCCUGGAUAACCAAACAUGUCGUAUACAAGUUACCUUCACAGCACCACCAUAAAUGUCGGAACUGCUGCUCGCGGCUGAGGGUGACGUAUUGGGGAUCUUGUCUGUGGUGGUGUCGUUGAUGAACACUUUGUCACGAGGGAUCUUCAGCACAUGACUGGCAAUCUGAAAAUACACGAAUGUACUAAGACCCGAUAGUGUCGAACUAUAUACAUGCACGUGUGUGUUGCAGAUACCUUCAUGAAAAAUACAUAUCUGUUAUAAAUAUAUUGCAAACACAGCUCUGAAGUUUGUUGUUUUGUUUAACCCUCGUCAGUACGCAGUUUCCAGAAGAUACUAAUCCACCUGGACCCCACCACUAGUUUGUUGUUUUGUUUAACCCUCGUCAGUACGCAGUUUCCAGAAGAUACUAAUCCACCUGGACCCCACCACUAGUUUGUUGUUUUGUUUAACCCCCGUCAGUACGCAGUUUCCAGAAGAUACUAAUCCACCUGGACCCCACCACUAGUUAGACCUUUCUGGUUUCUAUUCAUGAUACUUUUGAAUCCUCAGAAUAUACUGAUAUGAUUAUAUAUGAUAUAUGAUUAUAUGAUAUACACAAACAAAAUAAUGGUAUUCUUGUAAAAUUAUUUUAAUUGAUU